UACGUAGGGUGCAAGCGUUGUCCGGAAUUAUUGGGCGUAAAGAGCUCGUAGGCGGCUUGUCGCGUCGGCUGUGAAAACCCGCGGCUCAACUGUGGGCGGGCAGCUGAUACGGGCAGGCUGGAGUUCGGUAGGGGAGACUGGAAUUCCUGGUGUAGCGGUGAAAUGCGCAGAUAUCAGGAGGAACACCGGUGGCGAAGGCGGGUCUCUGGGCCGAUACUGACGCUGAGGUGCGAAAGCGUGGGGAGCAAACAGG
rnacentral:rRNA from 1 species